rnacentral:rRNA from 1 species
CCUACGGGUGGCAGCAGUGAGGAAUAUUGGGCAAUGGACGCAAGUCUGAACGAGCCAGGCCGCGUGCAGGAAGACGGCUCUAUGAGUUGUAAACUGCGUUUGUACGAGGGUAAACGCAGAUACGCGUAUCUGUCUGAAAGUAUCGUACGAAUAAGGAUCGGCUAACUCCGUUCCAGCAGCCGCGGUAAGAAGGAGGAUACAAGCGUUGUCCGGAUUUAUUGGGCUGAAAGGGUGCGUAGGCGGGCGGAUAAGUUAGAGGUGAAAUCCCGAGGCUCAACUUCGGACUUGCCUCUGAUACUGUUCGGCUAGAGUGUAGUUGCGGUAGGCGGAAUGUAUGGUGUAGCGGUGAAAUGCUUAGAGAUCAUACAGAACACCGAUUGCGAAGGCAGCUUACCAAGCUACUUCUGACGUUGAGGCACGAAAGCGUGGGGAGCAAACAGGAUUAGAUACCCCAGUAGUC